GGCUCUGUGGCGCAAUGGAUAGCGCAUUGGACUUCUAGUUGAUACAAGAUAUUCAAAGGUUGUGGGUUCGAGUCCCACCAGAGUCG
rfam:Xenopus tropicalis strain Nigerian scaffold_2058_contig_1, whole genome shotgun sequence.